UAAUACGUAGGUGGCAAGCGUUGUCCGGAAUUAUUGGGCGUAAAGCGCGCGCAGGCGGCUUCUUAAGUCUGAUGUGAAAUCUUGCGGCUCAACUGCAAGCGGUCAUUGGAAACUGGGAGGCUUGAGUGCAGAAGAGGAGAGUGGAAUUCCACGUGUAGCGGUGAAAUGCGUAGAGAUGUGGAGGAACACCAGUGGCGAAGGCGGCUCUCUGGUCUGUAACUGACGCUGAGGCGCGAAAGCGUGGGGAGCAAACAGGAUUAGAUACCCUGGUAGUCCACGCCGUAAACGAUGAGUGCUAAGUGUUAGAGGGUUUCCACCCUUUAGUGCUGCAGCUAACGCAUUAAGCACUCCGCCUGGGGAGUACGGCCGCAAGGCUGAA
rnacentral:rRNA from 1 species